ensembl:lncRNA
UUGAAAGCCUGCGUGCCCGGGAGUUUUAAAUGAUCGUGGAGAAGUGAUUCCAAAUCAUCAUACCGACAUUAACCUCUUUUCAGGUUUCCCCACUUGCUGCCAUAUCAUGGACCCCAGGAACAUGACAAGCUGGCGGAGGAGUUUAUCGACUAUCAAGUCAUGCAGGUGUCUCUUCAAAGCCAAGAAGACCUUGACAUGGAGCAUUUCUGGACAGAACUGGCAAGCAGGGAACACAAGGUGACAGGACAAUGCCAGUUUGAAAGGCUUGCCAAAACUGCCAAGCUCGUCCUGGUGCUACUCCACUCAAAUGCCAAUGCCGAACGAGUGUUUUCACUGCUUGGACUGAACAAGACUAAGACCAGGAACAGUCUGGCUCUAGAGGGAACACUCUCCUCUAUUGUGACUAUUAAAAUGGCUGGUUUGGAGCCAUGCCGUAAAUGGGAACCCACCCCAGAGGUAAUCAAGGCUUCAAAAAAGGCCACCAGGGAGUACAACAUGGCUCACAAGAAUUAUUUUUUCCUUGUUCAAUUCCUGUUCCUGUUUACAGUUGUGCCAUUUAUUCCGAGUUUACAGUCUUUAUUAUUUAUAUUUGGGCCUAGUUAAUAAGUUAUUCACUCUGCUCCUGUGAGGUCCAAUCAGACCUGGUUUAGUCCUGGGUUUAGUCCAUGUCACCCUGCUCCUCUGGGACAGAGUUUAGUGUGUAAUUGUAAUUCUGUUCAGUGAAUGGAUAAUUUAAGUUAGGAAGAUAUGUUUUGUUUUUGCUUAAGCACUUUUUAUUGUUUAGUUGGCUGAUGUGGUCAACUUGAAGCUGUUGAGUGUGUGCAUUAAAAUCCUCCAAGUGGUUGCUGGAG